rnacentral:rRNA from 1 species
AUUUGGAAGAAUGUAUAGCGAAAGCUAGUUGUAUAUAUAAUUGAUAUAUACAAUAUCGACUUAGUCGAAUAAAGUUCUGAGUAGAACUAUGAUAAUGACAUUAUCUACUUAUGUGUCUUGACCAAACCACGUGCCAGCAGUCGCGGUAAGACGUGAAAGACUAGUGUUAUUCAUCUUUAAUAGGUUUAAAGGGUACCUAGACGGUAGAUAAAGCCUUAAAAGGAACUAAUUUACUAGAGUUGUUUGUGAGGGAGCACUAAAGUACUAGUGGUGUAGAGAUGAAAUUCCAUAAUACCUUUUUUCGAAAGAAGAGUAACGGAACAAAUAUAGGCGAAAGCAUCUCCUUAUGUGAUAACUGACGUUGAGGGACGAAGGCUUUGUGUAGCGAACAGGAUUAGAGACCCUGGUAGUCGAAGCAGAAAAUGAUGAGUGUCAUAGAUUAGAUAGUUGUUUAUUCUAUAAAUGAAAAUGUAAGCACUCCACCUCAAGAGUAAUUUGGCAACAUUGGAACUGAAAUCAUUAGACCGUUUCUGAAACCAGUAGUGAAGUAUGUUGUUUAAUUUGAUAAUCCGCAAAGAACCUUACCACAACUUGAAUAUUUAUAUAGAUGUAAAUCUAUUGUACAUACAAGUGUUGCACGGCUGUCUUCAGUUAAUGUCGUGAGACUUUGGUUGGUUCCAUUAAAUUAACGUAAACCCUUACUUUAUUUUUAUAUAAAGUUGUUCUCCUAAAUAUUGGAUAAGAUAAGA